GUGAGUGCCCCCGGGGAGGUGCUAGGGGUCCUCACCGGGCAGCGCGGUCCCAGGAGCGCGAGCGAGCGAGGGGCGCUUCCCGCUGUGGGUCUCUGCAGGGUUCCUCGCCCGGGGACGCUGAGAUCCGCAGCCCAGAGCCUGGGGAGGAGUCGCGGCUGCUUGGACUCCGAAAGGACCCGAGCCGGCGCCAAGGGCUCCGAGGGCGUCCAGCCCAGUGCUGUCUUCCCGGGAGCUGGUCCAGGGCUCAAGCCCAAACGCUGGGCAAAUCCAGAAAGAGAUCGGAGGAGGGCUGAGGAGGUGUGUGGGGAGCCGGGAUGUAGGACUGGGCUCUUCCCCGCGCAAGGGGUGGGAACCCGCGGCGCCCAGAGCCACGCGCGCUCCAGCCGGGGCUUGGCUCCUGCACCGACCCCUCCACACCCGCAGGAGCGGGGGCUGGAGCGGGAAGCAGUGCGGAUCCGGCUCCUCCCGCCUCGCAGGGGUGGGUUAAAGAGGGCAAUUCAGAGGGCUGGCGCCCGCUCCUGCCUGCAGCUCAAGCUCGGGGCUCCAGUCGCCAAACCUCGGGACGGUCGAGAGGUGGCAUGCGCGGCUCUGCCAGGAGCUGCCACACAGGCUCAUGACGGAAGACCCACAAGAAAAGCCCAUCUAACAAGAGAGAAACAUACAAAUUCAUUUACGUUUUCUCUGUCAUGGAGGCCUCAGAAAAGAAGUCCCCCCAACACAGGGAAAGAUUGCAGCUGACUGAUUCACUGUUGGAUUGAUGGAGACACCAAAAUGAAUUAGAUCACAUCAUUUGGAUUCUUGUAGCUUGGAAAUUGAAUGAUCUUAUAAUGAAGAAUCUGAAUUUCAAAAAGCACAUCUCCCUGUAAUCAUCUGAGGCUGGCUCUACCUACAUACUGAUCCCACAUUCUGAUGCCCGUGUGACACUGUGGAGGGCCUGGAACCUGCUAAACAUCUCUGUGUGAGAACAUUCUCCUCUUUGUCCUAAAGUCAUUUCCGCAGGACAGAGCUCCUGAAGAGCCACCCUG
rnacentral:lncRNA from 1 species